UCCAAGAGUUGUAGCAGGGUGUGCUGCGGCAAUUAAGGCUCUGGGUGCAAAGAUAUGUGGGGACUGGGGGCUUCACUCCAGCUAUAAAAUUGGAGCAUGGGAAAAACUCGGUAGAGGUCCCCCUCAGCUGGUCUGAGACCCCCACCACCUUUGACCUUGCUGCGGACUCUGGAACACCAAGCAGAUAACAGUCCGGGAACAGCGCAUGACAGGAGGGAGGCUGUACCCUGGCCUGCAUCUCAGCAGGGCUGAGCACUGUGGAAAGGAAACGGGCACAACAGAGAGCUCCACACUGAAAGAUGUAGAGAUGGGGCCGGUUUGUUUUACCUGUAGUGAUUCAAGAAUCCUUUCCUGAUGUUCCUGUUGAGCACAAGAGCCUUCAGCCACUCAGUCUCUAGCUCCCGUCGGGAAGUGAAUGUAUCUGACAUGCUAAGGAAACAAGUUUUAACUAUCCCACAGAAGCAGAAUGGAGAUAACAUCUGAUGUGCAGCUACUUCUACGUGCCAAGAGGCUGGGGUAGGACUGACGCAGCUUGCCACGGCAAAUACUCCGAGCCAAGCCAGUGCAGGUCCCCUCACUAAGGGUAACGCUGAAGGGUGAGCUCAGCCCCUUUGCUCCUCAGGCAUGGCAAGAUCAGAACUGAAGGCCCCAGACUAACAGCAUUCUGUCAAAGCUCUACAUGCAUACAGCACGGGCCUGACUUUCUUUUCUCUGCGGGAUGUUGCUGAACCCUCUGUGUCCCGAGAUCUAGAGAAAGGACACCAGGCAGUAGGCUGUGAAUCCGUAAAAGGAGGUUUUUCCCACAUCUUUUUUCACAACCUAUGAUUACAGCCCUCCUCACCCUGGCCAAGGAAAUCAAACAGAGGAGCAGAGUUAGCAGGUGACCACUGAAAACCUUCGCAUUCAUGUUUGUAACGGGAAAAGACAGUGUCAGUCUGGAGCAAAGGAGGAUUACGCCCAUUUUGAGCUACAUCUUUUGAUCUGCAGGAGAGCCCCCUGCUUUGGAGAUGGCUCUUUAUGGCUCAUCUGUGAGCCCAGACUCUCCCUGUGUGUUUAGGAACCUUCUAAUUCCCUCUGGUUUUUCACCAUCUCCUGCCAUCAGUCAUUUUAGCACUUGGGAGUCAGUGCAAUACUUGAGGUGAAGUUAUUCAGCGAUAGUUACCUGCUAGAUGGAAUAAGCUAGCUGUGUAUCUUCUAAGAAGGAAGCCUGCCCUACCGUAAGACAUAGUCAUGGGAGUC